rnacentral:rRNA from 1 species
GUGCCUAACACAUGCAAGUCGAACGAGAAAGUCCGCAAGGAUGAGUAAAGUGGCGAACGGGUGAGUAACACGUGACUACCUGCCCUCGAGUGGGGGAUAACCCCGGGAAACCGGGGCUAAUACCACAUAAUCUCGCAAGAGCAAAUGCGCAAGCAGCUUGAGGAGGGGGUCGCGGCUGAUUAGCUAGUUGGUGAGGUAACGGCCCACCAAGGCGAUGAUCAGUAGCCGGCCUGAGAGGGCGCACGGCCACACUGGAACUGAAACACGGUCCAG